rnacentral:ncRNA from 1 species
GCGCUUGGAUGGGGGUGCGCGUCUCGUUCGGCGCGCUGAGAGUGCUCGGCACAACCCCUCGAACCUGAUCCGGCUGAAUACCGGCGGAGGGAAUCCAGCGCUGAUCGAA